rnacentral:rRNA from 1 species
AGAGUUUGAUCCUGGCUCAGGAUGAACGCUGGCGGCGUGCUUAACACAUGCAAGUCGAACGGUGAAGCCAAGCUUGCUUGGUGGAUCAGUGGCGAACGGGUGAGUAACACGUGAGCAACCUGCCCUGGACUCUGGGAUAAGCGCUGGAAACGGCGUCUAAUACUGGAUACGAGACGUGAUCGCAUGGUCGUGUUUGGAAAGAUUUUUCGGUCUGGGAUGGGCUCGCGGCCUAUCAGCUUGUUGGUGAGGUAAUGGCUCACCAAGGCGUCGACGGGUAGCCGGCCUGAGAGGGUGACCGGCCACACUGGGACUGAGACACGGCCCAGACUCCUACGGGAGGCAGCAGUGGGGAAUAUUGCACAAUGGGCGGAAGCCUGAUGCAGCAACGCCGCGUGAGGGAUGACGGCCUUCGGGUUGUAAACCUCUUUUAGCAGGGAAGAAGCGAAAGUGACGGACC